GAGUUGUAAUUUGUAGAGGAUGUUUCGGGCACCGCUCCGGUUUAAAUUUCUUGGAACAGAAUGUCAAAGAGGGUGAGAACCCCGUCUUGGACCGGCAGUAGGGCCCAUGUGAAACUCCUUCGACGAGUCGAGUUGUUUGGGAAUGCAGCUCAAAAUGGGUGGUAAAUUUCAUCUAAAGCUAAAUAUUGGCCAGAGACCGAUAGCGCACAAGUAGAGUGAUCGAAAGAUGAAAAGCACUUUGAAAAGAGAGUUAAACAGUACGUGAAAUUGUUGAAAGGGAAGCGCUUGCAACCAGACUUGCGCGCGGCGGUUCCCCCUUCCUUUUGGUUGGGUUAUUCCGCCGUGUCCAGGCCAACAUCGGUUCUGGGGGUCGGUUAAAGGCCCGGGGAAUGUAUCUACCCUUCGGGCGUAGACUUAUAGCCCUGGGUGUCAUGCGACCUCCCGGGACCGAGGAACGCGCUUCGGCUCGGAUGUUGGCGUAAUGGUUGUCAGCGACCCGUCUUGGACACCCGCGGGCACCACAACAGUCUA
rnacentral:rRNA from 1 species